UUGACCUCGGAUCAGGUAGGACUACCCGCUGAACUUAAGCAUAUCAAUAAGCGGAGGAAAAGAAACCAACAGGGAUUGCCCC
rnacentral:rRNA from 3 species